GGAAGAAUUUUAAAUAUAGAAAAGUGACGUGUUUUCUUCCGAAGUUAUCGAUGCGGGAACUAAUCUCAACAGUGGUGCGUAACUAUCUCCAACGUUUUGUGGUAGAAUCAAGUCCGAACAUAUAUAAAAACCGUAUAUUCCACCUGUCAAAUCAGGAUAGUUUUUUACCACGCUGAAACCAUAAUAACUUCCCGGCUCAAAUCCUAACAUCUCUCCAAUACCACUUUUUGAAAAUUAAAUGUAAAGCGAACCUUGUGGGUUAUAAUGCUGAUUCUUCCGUUUCCCGUAAAUGCAAACGACGCUUCGUUCUUUAGCCUCGCUUUAUUUAUUUGCUUGCUUAUAGCGUCUACCCAACGCCUCCUAGAAAACAGGCCUGAAUCUCUCCCGGACGCCCACGUCAUCACUAGUGGGGCAACUUACAUAAGCGACGCCAUUUUAGGUUUGCUAUAUAAUAUUAAUCCGAAAAUAUAUUUUGCAUAAAAUUUUAUAGAAUACUGUAUAGUCUUUAUGUAUUGAUAAAAUCCACAAUAAGAAAAAUAAGACUGUAGAAACUGACCAACAGAAAAAUCUCUAUGAUUUUAAAAUAUGACACUUUGUUUAAAUUGAAC
rnacentral:lncRNA from 1 species